rnacentral:rRNA from 1 species
GAUGAACGCUGGCGGCGUGCCUAAUACAUGCAAGUCGAGCGAAUGGAUUGAGAGCUUGCUCUUAUGAAGUUAGCGGCGGACGGGUGAGUAACACGUGGGUAACCUGCCCAUAAGACUGGGAUAACUCCGGGAAACCGGGGCUAAUACCGGAUAACAUUUUGAACCGCAUGGUUCGAAAUUGAAAGGCGGCUUCGGCUGUCACUUAUGGAUGGACCCGCGUCACAUUAGCUAGUUGGUGAGGUAACGGCUCACCAAGGCAACGAUGCGUAGCCGACCUGGGAGGGUGAUCGGCUACACUGGGACUGGGACACGGCCCAGACUCCUACGGGAGGCAGCAGUAGGGAAUCUUCCGCAAUGGACGAAAGUCUGACGGAGCAACGCCGCGUGAGUGAUGAAGGCUUUCGGGUCGUAAAACUCUGUUGUUAGGGAAGAACAAGUGCUAGUUGAAUAAGCUGGCACCUUGACGGUACCUAACCAGAAAGCCACGGCUAACUACGUGCCAGCAGCCGCAGUAA